GUUCACAGCAGAUGGAACUUGGCUGAUCUCAGAAGCUAAGAGGGUUUGGGCCUGGUUAGUAUUUGGAUGGGGGACCUGCAAGGAAAUACUAGACCUGUAAAAC
rnacentral:rRNA from 1 species